rnacentral:lncRNA from 1 species
AGAGAGGUGUGAGUAUCGCCAGGCCAAUGUUCUUACUGAGCCAGUGGUUAGGCUCACGCUUUAUGCGAAUCCCCUUUUCAGGUUCUCAAUGUAAUCAGAGUGGCGCAGCGGAGCGGAGUUGGAGGAAUCACAAGCCUUGAUGCCUUAUAUGUCGUCUUCGGAUUUCUUACAAAAUUAUCUCUCCACUUUUCCCUUUUAAAAAUCCAAUGUAUAAUGGAGAUCUUUACGAGUUCAUUUUGUACUCUGAUUUUGGAAUCUAGUCUAUUAAACCGGGGUAUAUAAAUAAAGUUUAUUUU